AACGCUGGCGGCAUUUCUUACACAUGCGAGACAAACGGCAGCACGGGGGCAACCCUGGUGGCGAGUGGCGUAUGGCUGAGUAAUACAUCGGAACGUGCCCAGUAGUGGGGGAUAGCUCGGCGAAAGCCGGAUUAAUACCGCAUACGAUCUACGGAUGAAAGCGGGGGAUCGCAAGACCUCGCGCUAUGGGAGCGGCCGAUGUCCGAUUAGCUAGUUGGUGGGGUAAAGGCCUACCAAGGCGACGAUCGGUAGCUGGUCUGAGAGGAUGAUCAGCCACACUGGGACUGAGACACGGCCCAGACUCCUACGGGAGGCAGCAGUGGG
rnacentral:rRNA from 1 species